AUUGAACGCUGGCGGCAGGCCUAACACAUGCAAGUCGGACGGUAGCACAGAGGAGCUUGCUCCUCGGGUGACGAGUGGCGGACGGGUGAGUAAUGUCUGGGGAUCUGCCCGAUAGAGGGGGAUAACCACUGGAAACGGUGGCUAAUACCGCAUAACGUCGCAAGACCAAAGAGGGGGACCUUCGGGCCUCCCACUAUCGGAUGAACCCAGAUGGGAUUAGCUAGUAGGCGGGGUAACGGCCACCUAGGCGACGAUCCCUAGCUGGUCUGAGAGGAUGACCAGCCACACUGGAACUGAGACACGGUCCAGACUCCUACGGGAGGCAGCAGUGGGGAAUAUUGCACAAUGGGCGCAAGCCUGAUGCAGCCAUGCCGCGCGUAUGAAGAAGGCCUUCGGGUUGUAAAGUACUUUCAGCGGGGAGGAAGGCGAUGUGGUUAAUAACCGCGUCGAUUGACGUUACCCGCAGAAGAAGCACCGGCUAACUCCGUGCCAGCCGCCGCGGUAA
rnacentral:rRNA from 1 species